UACGAAGGACCCGAGCGUUAUCCGGAUUUAUUGGGUUUAAAGGGUGCGUAGGCGGAUUAUUAAGUCAGUGGUGAAAGCCUACAGCUUAACUGUAGAAUUGCCAUUGAUACUGAUGAUCUUGAAUGUGAUUGAGGUGGGCGGAAUGUGUCAUGUAGCGGUGAAAUGCUUAGAUAUGACACAGAACACCGAUUGCGAAGGCAGCUCACUAAGUCAAUAUUGACGCUGAUGCACGAAAGCGUGGGGAGCAAACAGG
rnacentral:rRNA from 1 species